rnacentral:rRNA from 1 species
UACGGAGGAUGCGAGCGUUAUCCGGAUUUAUUGGGUUUAAAGGGAGCGUAGGCGGGUUGUUAAGUCAGUUGUGAAAGUUUGCGGCUCAACCGUAAAAUUGCAGUUGAUACUGGCAUCCUUGAGUACAGUAGAGGUAGGCGGAAUUCGUGGUGUAGCGGUGAAAUGCUUAGAUAUCACGAAGAACUCCGAUUGCGAAGGCAGCUUACUAAGCCAUAACUGACACUGAAGCACGAAAGCGUGGGGAUCAAACAGG